GAUGAACGCUGGCGGCGUGCCUAACACAUGUAAGUCGCACGGUGAACUUUGCCUUUGGCGAGGGGAUCAGUGGCGAACGGGUGAGUAACACGUAGGUGACCUGCCCCAAAGAGAGGAAUAACUCUGCGAAAGCGGAGCUAAUACUUCGUGUGGUUAGCUAUUCAUUUAGUUAACUAAAGCUUCGGCGCUUUGGGAGGGGCCUGCGGCCCAUCAGCUAGUUGGUAGGGUAAUGGCUUACCAAGGCGAAGACGGGUAGCUGGUCUGAGAGGACGAUCAGCCACAAUGGCACUGAAACACGGGCCAUACUCCUACGGGAGGCUG
rnacentral:rRNA from 1 species